CCGGCCCGAACGGCCUCAUAAGCAGUUGAUGCGCGAGGUCCACAAAACUGCCGGCCCGAACAGCCUCACAAGCAGUUGAUGCGCGAGGUCCACGAAACUGCCGGCCCGAACGGCCUCAUAAGCAGUUGAUGCGCGAGGUCCACGAAACUGCCGGCCCGAACGGCCUCAUAAGCAGUUGAUGCGCGAGGUCCACGAAACUGCCGGCCCGAACGGCCUCAUAAGCAGUUGAUGCGCGAGGUCCACGAAACUGCCGGCCCGAACGGCCUCAUAAGCAGUUGAUGCGCGAGGUCCACGAAACUGCCGGCCCAUACGGCCUCACAAGCAGUUGAUGCGCGAGGUCCACGAAACUGCCGGCCCGAACGGCCACAUAAACAGGCGAUGCGCAAUUCCACGAAAACUGCCGGCCCAUACGUCCUCACAAGCAGUCGAUGCGCGAGGUCCACGAAACUGCCGGCCCGAACGGCCACAUAAACAGGCGAUGCGCGAUAUCCAAAAACUGUCGGCCACAUCUGCCUGCGCAGGCAGUCCAAGCGCGGUAGUACUAGCUAGAUAUAACCUUGGGGAAAGCGCUCUCGGCUUCGUGACUUGUGGUAGUUAAGCCCGGUGUCCGGUAGUUGCUGUGGCGCAUCACACCGCCAGUGCCUGAAGGGGGCCGGUGGACAGAGCCAGGGUAGGUUGCAUGCCUGCUGCAGGAGCCUGUCGCGUUAGCCCAGCCGUUGAGACCCACGCUGCCUGCUGGCCGCAUGAGCCCAGUGUGAAUGGUGGUGGUUCGUCCGUGGGCGUCCUCGAACAUGCGAUCCUCCGUUGCCCAGCGUCCUGGCAGGUUGUAAACCUUGCCCCGGAAAUGUGGCGAAUACGACAAAGGAUCUGUACAACAUUAUUUGUAACUGGGUGUGACAGCCGGAGAAUUCAGUAGUUGUGUAACAGUAUGUGUGAAAGACGCUCGAAUAAACGACACCGAAGUGGUACGCAUUAGAAUUCACAACUCAAGAUAACAACAUUUCAUAACGGAUUUGAACUCCUAAUGUAUGGUGGCGUUCCUAGCGGCAAUGGAAGCUAAAUAGCGGAGGUUGGUUAACCACGUGACAGCUUUCAGCAACGCCUGACCUUCUUCGGACGCAUCAUCCGCCAUUGCUGUUCAAAUUAAGUUAAUGCGCUCAAUAGCGACGCGCACAACCUUCACCAAGGCCCAGGAUCCGCGUAAUUGCGGGUGGCUGGCUAAGGGCCGGCGGCUCCGCACAUUGUAAAAGAUUAUCGCUUCGGGCUGAGCUAACAUCAGCUGGGUUAGCUCCUCGUGCUCCUUCAGCCUCCGGUCGAAGUAAGCUGUGAGUGCUGGCGAAAUAACUCGCGCUCCUCAGCUAGCUGCUGUUCGAAGAGGGCCCGCAUUUCGGGAGUGAGCACUAAUCUUUCUGCGCCCGCAGCGCCAAUUUCCAUAGCCGACAUUCGAUUCUAGUAUUGCUAAGAAAAGACGGUGCAACACAUAACUAGAGGACACUGUCCCAGCAGCGGGACACACCUCUUGGUAAUAGUCAAAACAACGGCAGUUAAAGAACCAAUGCGCCUGUGGGACCCAAGUAGGAGCUCGGCGUCCCUUGCCGUACUGCGGUCCGGCACAUGCAUGCAUGCAUGC
rnacentral:lncRNA from 1 species